rnacentral:lncRNA from 1 species
AAUCGAAGAAGAAUCGAAAAAAAGAAGAAAAAGAAGAAUCAAAGAAUAAUCAAAGAAGAAAAAAAAAACAAGAAGAAUCAAAAAAGAAGAAGAAGAAGAAGAAGAAAAAGAAGAAUUGAAGAAUGGAAGAAGAAAAAUCGAAGAAUAAGAAGAAGCAUCUAAUAAGAAGAAGAAUCGAAAAAGAAGAAGGAAAAAUGAUUAGAAAAUGAAGAAUGAUGAACGAAGAACGACGAAAGGAAAGGUAGAUGCACCAGAUGUUUGAUCAACAACUACACCAUGCACUCAAGAUUCACGGUUGAAUCUCAUAUGAACUGCAGCUUUGAAAUACAAUGAUGUGAAGUUGAAGAUUUCUUCAGAAAUCCAAACUUUUGCUAUGGAACCUUCCAGUCGUGGUCUAUUUCUCACAAAGUAUUUCAGUUUGCUUAAAAAUCUACAAAUAAACAAGACUAAGAUUUUCGAUCACUAAACAACAUCAUUCUAAGCAUUUAGAUUUAUGGAAAGAAGAGUGAUUUAUUAGUACCUUUCAAUGGGAUACGUCCACCAAGGUUAACCUCUUCAACCAAAUGCACUACAAGAUGAACCAUUACUAUGAAGAAUGAUGGGGGGACUAACAUCUCGAACCGACACAAUGCUACAACUUUUUCACAUAAUUGUUUUCAAGCAUGAACAAAACUCAACCAAGUUCGAACACGCUUGAGCAGGUAGAACAUUCUCAAUGGUCUAUGGUAAUAGCUCAUGCAUCAUUAUGUGACCGUCACGUGUUUUCAAUCCUAUUACCUUUCGAUGUUCUACAUCAACACAUCUGGAUAUGUUACUUAAGUAUCCAUCAGGUACAACAAUAUCCUUUAAAGUCUUAUUUAUAAUUUAUAGGUAUAACAAUAUCCUUGAAAGUCUUAUGUAUAAUUUAUAUUUCUUGCUUGCCCAAGGUAUGCAAAGCACCGGGACAUGUCUUCCCAUCAUCUCUUGGCUAGAGUUCCUUUUCUAAUUCCCAUAGCCUUCAAAUCAAGUCCUUCUUUCAAAUUAUAUUUGCUUUAAUCCUUCUCAUUCAACGAGUAUAUAAAAUGUUCUCACACAUAUUUUUUUCAAUAUGCAUAACAUCCAAAUUGUGUCGAAGCAAAUCGAACUUUGAAUAAGGAAGUUGAAAGAAACAACUUUUCUUCUUCCAUUAUUCAACCUUUUUCUUUCCUCUAACAUUUUCACUUCCAAGUGCUCUCUUCUUUUUUGGAGGUCCAUCCUUUUUAGUUUCCUUCUCCUUCCCAAAUGUGACAGUAACAUUUUCAACUUGUUUCAAUAUUUACAAUCCUGAUUAUAGUUUUGUUGGUCUCCUUUGCUCAACUUUACCAUUAAAUCUAGAUUUUUAUGUGAAAAAUGAUGUCCCAUGGCCAAGAACCAUCUACUAUCAAUAAAAACCUCUUCAAACUACCUCCCAAACCUAGAGGUUCUUGAUAAAAAUUAUAAAUGGGACAUGCUUGCAUUUUGUAAGUGUUCCAGCCAGAUAAAAGACUUAAUCCUAGAAAAUCGCUAAUUGUCCACAUCAGCGCUACUCUUAAUGUGAAAACAUCAUUUUUGUUAACAUCAAAUGCUUCAACUCCAGUCCAUAAUAGUUUUAACUCAUCAAUCAAUGGUUCUAGGUAGAUAUCUAUAUCAUUUCCUGCUACUUUCUUCCCAGGAAUAAUACUAGAUAGAAUAAUACUCAUCGUCUUCACACAUUUCCAAAAGGAUUGAAACCAUUGGUUACGAGACCUAAUCUAAGGUUUUGUGGAUCCGAUUCGAAAUCUGGAAAUAUCAAGUAAAAAUUCUUCCACACCUCACCAUCACACCGAUGUCUUUCCAUUCCAUCAGUACUCUUCUCUUUUGAAUGCCACACCAUACUCUCAACACUUUUUUAGACAAAAACAGUCUUUUCAAUCUUGGAAUCAAAGAAAAAUAGCCAAAUAUCUUGUUUAAUUGUCUUUUUUUUUCUUUCCAUCAACCAACUCUACAUUCUCACCAUCCUUGAAUAUAGAGUCCCCACAAACUUUACAAACUUCUUGAUCGAUGUCAUCUCCCCAAUAUAACAUGUAAUCAUUCUCACAUGCAUGUAUCUUAGUGUAUCCCAAGCCAAGUGAUUUGAUAAUCUUCUUCACAACAUAUCCACAUGAUUGUAUUUUGGCAAAUUCAAAUGUGUCAUGCACCAGCUUAAUCAACAUUGACAAUGCUUUGCCACUAAUAUUAUGCAUGUACUUGAUGUGAUAUAGUCUCAAGAUAAAUGCGAGCUUUCAGGUCUUAUUGGAAGCUCCCUCAUACAAAGGUUCAUCAGCAUCCUUCAUUGUUUGGAUGAUAUCAAUGUUAACAUCAUUUGAAUCAUAGGCACUUCAGUGUUGUUUGGCAUAGUACUACUGGAUACUUCAGCGAAACACCAAAUGCAUUAUUGAUGAGAUUAUGAGUUGCAAAAUUAUCAUGAUACUCUGUUUGAGUGUUCCCACUACAUUGAUGGGUGCAUCUAUCUGAUAUCAAGUUCCAGCAUUCUGAGAUGAUUGUCCAAUAUCUAACUCUCCAUGUCAACUCCAGAAAGUGUAAUGCAUAGGAAAUUUCUUAUGGAGGAGAUGUUCGUAAACAUCAUCUUUGGAAAGCCACUUCUUAAAGAACAUUUUGGACAUGGACAUAUUAUCAUCUCACCGUCAUUGUUGUUUGUGAAAGAAAAGUCUAAGAAGCUAUUCAAAUCUAUCCUAUACUCACCAGAAAGAUGGUGCAUUUUAAUUCAAAACUUAUCCAUAUGAAAAUCGCCUAAUUGAAUUUAAAUUCAAAAUAAUUGUUCAACAUUUUAAUAAUAAAUAAUUAUAUCAAAUGAAUCAACUAAAUACAUAUUUCAAUGUAUAUUUCAAUCUAUUGUUCAACCUAACUAAUAAUAUACUAAUUCAAUAACUAGAUAUACAUAUUUGGUUCAACAAAUUAAAUUACAUACCUUACAUCGACAGAGAAUGAAAUAUUUCUCGGGCUUCACACAUGAGAACAAGCAACAAAUUGUAAAUCUUGCAUUCAAAAAUAACUAACAGUGAUUGAAAAACCUCAUAAUUAAUAAUAUUACAAUUACCAAAAAAAUUAGGUCAAAGUGAAAAUUUAUCACAGACGUUGAUAUGGAUCGAAUCUGGGUAGAGGAUAGGCAGACAGAGAAUUCGGAGUUGAGAGAAUUUUAGGAUUUGAAAGAGUGUAAAAUCAAUGGUCAGUAUGAGUUUGAGGUUGUUAGACUUGUCACACUUAGUGCCGGUCAACAAGCGAUGCUAAAUACAAGGUGCGAUUCUAACUUAAAGAGAAAAUUUGUGCAACUUAGCGUCGGGGGGAACCGANNNNNNNNNNNGUCGGUUGUAACCGACGUUAAUUUAAACCAAACGCGAUGGUAAAUUAGACGCCUUUUUGGAGCAUUGUUGACCGGGCACAUAUUUUCUAUCAGUUGGUAGAAGCACCGACGCUAUAUUUUGGCCAAGCUACGGGAAAAUGGCAAGAUAUAUUUGCAUUAACUGGUCAAACACUUACCAGUUAAUGACUAACCAACGCUAAAUCAUUGACUAAACCGAUGGAAAAUAAUCAACACAGUUGACCACUUAUUUGAUAAUCAACAUGCACUUAGGUAAUGUGCACUUCCAACAUGCACCUGCACAGUAACUUUCGUAUGAUUCAUUUCCAUGAUACAGCAUGGUAAAAUGCAUUUCCACUAUGCAUAGUGCACCUUGGUAUGAUACACUUCCACCAUCUAACAUACACUUUACACGUUAGUACGAUGCACUUCCAUCAUUCACCAUGCCCCUUAGUAUAGUGCAGUUCCACUAUGCACUAGGCAUCAUGCACCUUAGUAAACUGCACUUACACUAUGUACCAUGCAAUGCACCAUGGGACAUUGGGCUUCCACAAUGAACUGUGCAUCUUGGUAUAAUGCCCUCCCACCAUGCACUAUCUGUGCAAUUAGUAAUGUGAGAAUUCAACAAGUACCGUGCACCUUGGUACACUUUCACCAUGCACUUUGCACCAUAAUAUGGUGCAGUUCCACUAUGCAACAUGCAUCAUGCACCAUGGUAUGGUGCACUUCCACCAUUCAUUAUGCACCAUUCACCAUGUACUAAGCAACAUUCACCCUAUUCCAUGGUACUGAGCACUUCCACAAGCAAGGUGCACCCUUCUAUGGCACACUUGACCAACGUUUGAUACUGCACCUUCUUACGAUGCACUUUGACCAUGCACUAUUGACAUUUAUCUUGGUAUAAUGGACUUCCUCUAUGCAUAGUGCACCUUGGUAUUGUGCACUUCAAUCAUCCAUGUUGCACUAUGCACCUACCUAAGUACUGUGCACUUCCACCAUCCACCAUGCAGUUUUGUACGAUGCAAUUCCACUAUCCACCAUGCGUUAUGCACCUUAGUACGGUGCAGAUCCAAUAUGUAUACCACUUAUACAUUGCAGCAUGCGACAUGCACAUUAGUACAGUGCACUUCGACCACACACCUUUUGUAGUGCACCUUGGAUGCACUUACACUAUGCACCAUGGACCAUGCACCUUGGUACGGUGAACUUCCCCUAGGGACAUUUCACCUUCGUAUGGUGUGCUUCCACCAUCCACCUUGCACUUUGCACCUUAGUACGAUACAGUUCUUGCACCAUCCACCUAUGUACGUUGCACUUCAACCAUCCACUAUGCAUAUUUAUAUGGUCCACUUCCACUAGGAAAAAUGCACAUUGGUAUGGUGCACUUCUACCAUCCACCUUGCAUUUUGCAUCUUUGUAUGGUGCAAUUCCAGUAGGCACCGUGCAAGUUAGUAUGGUGUAGUUCCACUAUGCACUUUACAACAUGGUAUGGAGAAUGCCCAUCAUGCACUAUGCAUCUUGCAUAUUGGUACAUUGCACUUCAACCAUGCACUGUGCCUGUUGCUACAGUGCACUUCUAGUCAACACGAUGCACCUUGGAAUAGUGCACUUCCACUAAGCACCAUGCACCUUGAUGUGUUGCAUUUCCCACAUGCAUCAUGCAACUUUGUAGGGUGCACGUCCCCAUGCACCUUACACCUUGCUACAAUGCACUUUCACUAUGCAUGGUGCACCAUGGUAAGAUGUACUUCCACAAUGAAUCAUGCACUAUGCACCUUACUACGAUGAACUUCCACUAUUCACGAUGCACCUUGGUAUGGUGCACUUCCACCAUCUACCUAACAUAGUUCUCCUUGGUAUGAUGAACUUCCCACAUGCACCAUGGGUUGUACAACUUUGUGUCGUGCAUUUCCACCAUAAACUGUGCGCCUUAGUAUGGUGUAGUUCCACGAUGCACCGUUCACCAUGGUAUGGUGCACUUUCACCAUACACUUUUGGUAUGGUGCACUUCCAACAUGCACCUUGUACUUCUAAAAAAUGCACUACCACUAUCCAUCAUACACUAUGCACCUUAGUCCGAUGCAGUUGCACUAUGCAUAGUGAAAAUUGGUAUGGUGCACUUCUACAAUGCACCAUGCGUCAUGCACCGUAGUAUAGCGCACUUCCACUAUGCACGAUACACCUUGGAUGAUGCACUUCCACUAUGCACCUUGCACAAUGCACCUUAGUAUGAUGCCCUUCUACAAUGCACCGUGGACUAUGCUCCUUGGUACAGUGCACUUCUACUAAGUACAUUUCACCAUGGUAUGAAGAACUUCCACCAUCCACCUUGCACUUUACAUAUGAGUACGAUGUAGCGCCACCAUUCACCAUGCACCUUAUUAUGGGGCUCUUCCACCAUCCACCAUGUAGCGUACACCAUGGUAUGUUGCACUUCCAUCAUUCACAAGGCACAGUGCACCUUGGUAUGGUGAACUUCCACUAUGAACUAUGCAUUGUGCACCUUUGUAUAGUGCACGUUCACAAUGCAUCGUGCAACUUGGUCUAAUGCACUUCCACUAUGCAUCUUGUGGACAGCUCAGUAGGGUGUAGUGUGGCCAUGCGUCAUGCAUCUUGGUAUAAUGCACUUCUACUACGCAUCGUGCACCUUGGUAUGAUGCACUUCCCCCAUGUAUCAUGCAACUUGGUAGGGUGCACUUGCAUCUUGCACAGUGCACCGUGCAACAUGCUACAAUGCACUUUCCCUAUGCAUGGUGCACCUUUGUACUAUGUACUUCCACCAUGUAGCAUGCACUAUGCACCAUAGUACUGUGCAGUUCCCCUAUGCACAAUGCAACUUGGUAUGGUGCACUUCUAACAUGCACCAUGUGCCUUCUUAUAGUGCACUUCCACUAUGCAUGGUGCACCUUGGUAUUGUGCACUUCUACCAUGCACCUUCCACAUUGCACCAUGUAUGAUGAAAUUCCAUCAUGCACCAUGGACCAUGCACCUUGGUAUAAUGCACUUCCACUAGGCACAAUGCACGUUGUUAUGGUGCACUUCUACCAUCCACCAUGCACUUUUCACCUUAGUACGAUGCUAAUCUCUUAGGUAUCGUGCACCUUAAUAUGGUGUAGUUCCACCGUGCAACGUGCCAUGGUAUGGUGACUUCCAUCAUACACUAUGCACAGUACAUGUUGGUAUGAUGCACUUCUGCCAUGCACCAUGCACCGUGUACCUUGAUACAAUCCACUUCCACUAUGCAUCCUGCACAUUGGUAUGGUGCACUUCCACUAUCCACCCUGCACUUUGCAUGUUAGUAUGGUGCAGUUCCACCAUGCAUUGUGCACCAUGGAUGGUGCACUUCCACAAUGCACCAUGCAUGUUGGUACAAUGUACUUCCACUAUGCAUAGUCCACCUUGGUAUGGUUCACUUCCACUAUCCAUUUUUCAAUUUUUACCAUGGUAUGGUGCACUUCCACUGUGCACCAUGCAUGGUUCACCUUCUUGUGUGCACUUCCACUGUGCACAGUGCACCUUGGUAUGUGAUAAUGUUUUAACAUAUCUAAAAAAUAACCUAUUUAUUGAAAUAACCUAGCUCAAAUUUCCAUAGGGUAUCUUGAUCGCGUUUAUUGUGAGUUAAGGAAAAGUGCCAAUCGAUAAAACAAGGUUGUGGCGUGAGUUCCAAAAUUAUCAAUCUUAGAAUAAAAAGCUAAAAAUAACAAUAAAUUAAAAUAAUUUGCAAGUUUACAUGAUUAAGGUAUUGACUAUUGGGAGAAAACUGCUUAUACUUUGAAUCCCCAUAGGCUAUCCAAAUUCACAAAUGAUAAUCAACUUAACCAAUUUAUGCCAAACAAGAUAGAUUUAGUCCACCAUCGUAGUUCUUCUCUAAUGAAAUCACGUCUUUUCAUGUUUGCUAAUCUGCUACCUAUCUACUAUACCAUUAUGCUCUUUCGAGAUAAAGAGCGUAAAUCCUCUAGGCGAUAAAACAAACGAGAAAUACUCACACGACAGACUAGUUUAUUCGCCCUCGGAUGAGGGUUACGCGUAACCUGGUUGUUUAAUUAAAUGCAAGUUCUUUCAAAACAAUAAAAAAUCUAACAAGAUCCUUGUGAAAAGCCACCCUAGAAGUCACGACCGAAACACUGGUUCAACCGAAGAGUCCUACUCGGGGUCCGACCUGUGGUUCGGCCGGGUCUCCUAGGGUUGGGUUUCACAUCUGGUAUCUGAACCUGGUUUGUCUUCUACCGUUAUCCGCGUGCUACCUGCUCUACAAAGGUGUCGCGAACAUCAGAGGGGAGAAGGUGAUUCCACACUUGUAACCAUACUAGAAUUCCAUAAGGGAAGUAGAUGAGCAUCAUGGUGGAGUGAUGAUGUGGUGAGUAAGUCUUUCCAAGAGUUUUCAGAAAAGAGUUUCCAAGGGUUCAGGUGUUAUAAAAAAAGAUGGAAACGUUUCCUCAGUUUGUCAGUUUUGAACGACCGCUCUCCCACCAGCUCCAGGAAGACAAAAGAAAGAGCUUGAAGAACCAAGGACAGAGUACCUUGCUUCCUUGAUUCAGAGUUUUUCUGUUGAACUAUGGGAGUUCCAGUAGGAUGAGGGGUAGUGAUAAGGAGAAACAUGGAUGAGACUCUGGGACUCUAAUCAAGAAGAACUCUUUGAUAGAGCUAGUAGUAGGGAAUGUGUUGGACCCAUACCGAAAAAGAGUUCAAAGUUUGAAAGACGUUCUCACUCUUUUGGAGUGAUUACAUCAUGGAGGUAAGGAGCCUCUAGUGUUUGAUUGAGGACCAUGCUCAAAGACAAGGAUGGGAAGCAUCGAAGGGCCGUAGGAAAUGGUAAAAAAAGAGACAAGAUAGGUCUUUGCUAGUCUCACGAAGUCGGAAUGCAGUAAUUAUGAAGACAGUAGCAGCAUUGGAAAUUUUUGAGGAACAGUACACCACGAGCGUGACAUGGAAUAGGGUUUAGGGUGUGAUGGAUAAGUGUGCCACAGGCGUGGCAGAGAGGUAGCAACGGCCAUGGUUAACGUAUGACCCCGUGUGUGAUAGUUAAUGGGCCAUAGGAGUGAUUGAUGGGAAUCAGAAUGAGUGUCCAGAGAACAUUGUUGGAGAUGGUCGAGGAGAAACAGAAUGGAAGGUUUAUCUAAUAUGAAAGGCAAAACAUGAAUCAACUUCUAAUUAAAAUGUGGAAUGAAAUUAAGAUUGAACAACAUCCAUACAAGUUUCAGUACAAGAAAGAGAAUCAACAGAAAAAGAAAAUGCGGGGAAAUACAAAGAAAGCCCACGGGUGGGGUAAUGAGAAGGCCAUGGGUGCAACGAUAAGGUGAUCACGGUCGUGGGUGAUAGUUGGUCACGGGUAAGACGAGCAGUCCACCACGGGCGUGGAUGGAUGACAGUUAAGGUCAUGACACGUAGUACACCAUGGGUGUAGUUGAGUGCUACUGACGGGCAUGAUGGUUUCCAACCAUGACCAUGACUGAGAGAAGGCAACGGUCAUGACAGACAAGAGGCUACAACCAUGAUUGACAGUCGACCAAGGGCAUGAUAAGGAAAUGACCAGCAACGUGGUAAGAAGAGGACCACAUGCGAGGUGAUCAAGAUACAAUGAGCGUGGCGGUGCAACAGUCACGGCAAUAAUCAGGCUAGUCACGAGCAUGACAGAGAGACUGCUACUUAUAUAGCAUACUUCAGACAAAGAGCUAGGAAAGAGCUAGGAAAGAGCUCUUGAUCAGAAGGGGGUUAAGAAAAAGUAGUGCAAGAAGGGCAUAUGAUUAAUGGAGCAAAGUAAAAAGGCCUAUCGAAACCGUCAUCAUGACAAGGGAAGGCAUGAUGCAGAGAGUUUACUAAGGUCAUGGCAGUACUAUGUGAGUAGUAUUACCUACCAGUGGGAACAUGAAUCAAGAACAGACAAGAAAACAGGGAACAUUUCUAUAUGCAGCAAUAUGAAAGUUGCAAGGGUGAGCUAGUCGCUCGACUAGCUGCAUCUUCUAAGCAGUACUACAAGGAAUGGUCUUUGUACUUUCAUUUUUGGGAUAUGGUAGUACGGGUUGACGAGCCAGUAAGGGACGAAGAGUCUGUAAAGGUACUUAAAGAGUGGAGCUUAUGCUUGGCAGGUCAGGGGAAGUCCCUCCGCCAGACGGUGACUACCAAGGGGCUGAGAUCAUCUGGGAAGGGCAGGGCGUGUUCAAAAUUCAAUCCAAUUAAGAUUUGAAGGAUAGAGCAGCAUUGUGCUGAGAGGUCAUGAGCGAGGUGCAAGCCUCAGAUGAUCUAGUCAUGAGCGAGGUGCAUUGGGCAGGUCUAGAGGACGUUGAGCGUCAUCUCCAAGUUACAUAGUAGCUUUUAGGGUGUUUCCUUUGGAAGGCGAAUCCCUGUAUUCUUACUGGGUGUCGGCUUCUGGUGAGUUAAUCGGAAUUCAACAUAGGUUGGAUUUUAAAGUGUCUUAAUGCAAUAAGACAAUACUUAGGGACUAGUGGAAGUUUAUCCAAAGACAAUUGAAUAGUUUGAAGUGAAUGAAGUGACAAUGGUAUAUGGGUUCUAGAAUCCACUGUUAGUAAAUAGUUCAGAUGAACAAGGGGUACUGGCAACAGAGAUCAAGAAAAGUGGAGGCAGCAGGCAUUGCCUGACAAACGAUAACCGAUGAUAGCUAGUAAUCCACGAGCAUAGCACUCUGUUAGUCACAGGAGAGGUAGUUAGUGGAUCACAGGCAUGGUGCCAAGGGGCACUAUUCUGGUUGGUAUGAGGAUUCCGUUUGUGACGGUGUAAACCAUGGGCAUGCCAAGAGAACUAGCAGGGACAUGGUCUAGAAGAUCAUGAGCAUGAUGUGCAAGAAUUCCAUUAGCGUGGCAGUGAGUAACGUCAUGGAACAUGGUGAGUAUGAGACUAGGUUUCCAAUGAAUGGAGACAACAUGAGAUGUGCAACAGACCAAUCACGUUUGGAUGGCGAGACUACGGUUGUGGUGCUACACUGGCCACAAGCAUUAAGUGUGCUAGCCACAGGCGUUGCUGACCUAUUGGUCAUGCGCGUGUUGAGCCAAGAGGUUACACACGUGGACAAUGAUGCAGUGGGUUGAGUAGAGCUCAUUAUCAGGCAUGCAUAUAGGUUUCAUCCUUAGUUGAGACUUGGUCUCGUACAGGCUGCAGGAGGAGGCACAUAGUUGAUCCUAGGACGACUCAAAGGUAAGUUGAACAUAGAAUAGUGAAAGUGAGGAUUCAACCUUGUUUGUUUAGUAGGUUAUGGGGAGUUAACCAGGUAGUGGUGCUUGAUGGGUAGCAAGCUUGACGGUUAGCUAUGAGUUGAGCAAGGCUGACCUUGUUCUAAGGCAGAGAGGUUGGUUAGGUUGUCAAAGCGUGUCCAACUUAGCUUGGGAAUCUAGGCUCGAUUGAGAGCAGAGUCCGAGAGUCGAGCUCGAAGGAGUUCUGUAGGAGCAAGGAAUUAGCUCUAGUUAGGCAAGUCAAGGUGUGGACCAUAGUCGAUCUAGUAGCACAAGUUUGUAAUUUGACCUUGGGUCAUUUCCGAUGAGUAGACCAGUUGAGCUUUGAGAAGGCCAACAUGACAAGACCGUUUGCUACCAAGUAGGGGUGAAAGCACCAGGGUUGGAUUCUGUUGCGCCCAAUCUCUUCCGUAUAGUGGGGAGAGGUUCAGGUUUCAGGACGAAACCUUUUCUAGGAGGGCAGAUUUGUGACACCCCGAUUUUCAGUUCGGUUUGAUUAAAAUCUUAAUCAUUGAGUAGAAGCCUCGAGUUGGAAACUGAAAUAAUUUAAUUAAUUCGAGUAGUUGACUCAGCAGUUCACGAAGUAUUAAAGGCCUGUAAGGCUCAGGAUUGUUAUCCGAUUCAACCGGUCGGCCCAUCCGAACAUUAUCGACCGAGACCGACCGAGAAGUGAUUGUGAUUCAUGCAUGAGGCAUGCAUGUGCUCACGUGAUAUCUGUUUGGUUGGUCAUUUAAUGGCGUGAGCCAUGGGUGUUGUAUAAAGGAUGUCACGGCCAUGGCCACUUUGUCACCACUGGUGUGGUGAUCAACCAGUUACGGGCGUGGUCGGCUUUUUGUGACGGGUGUGGUGUGUUCAGUAUAUAAGAGUUAGGAUUAUUAGUUGACAGAAUUAUUAGAAGCUGAAAUUUAGUUUUUUCUGUCUUGCCUGCAAACGCAAUUUGAAGAAGGAGAUCCCAAAUUUGAAGGUGCAAACGAGCUCUGAUUGCCUCGAGAUUUAAGAGGGUAGAUAAGGACGAUGUCAGAUCAUUCCUCCUAGAUUGAUCAGAGGUAAAUAUGGAUUUCAUAUAAGCUUUAGAGAGUUUCAAUUUUGGAAUUUGGUUUGGGGUUUUCCUCCUGUGUUUGGGAUUUUUUAUCGUUCUUGACAUCAAGGAUCGAUGGAGGCUCGCUAGAGAGUCACCAGAGUUUGGGACCUGCUCGCCGGCGAUGACGAGCUCGCCGAAGUAGAUGAGUGAUCAGAUGGCCAUAGUCAGAAGUUUAGUGACCAGACUGUAAUAUCAUAAAGAUAAGUUUGAGGACUGAUUUGUAAUUCCUAGAAGUUGGGUGUCUAAUCUGCAGUUGGAAAGUGUUCAGGGGCAAUUGUAAUUAGUUGUCAAGAAUCCUUGUUUGGAUUUUCAGAACUGUACAGUAGUGUGUGGUCUACUAUAGAGAUAGUUGUGCUAUGCAGUUGAGUAUUUCGGCUAUGCAUUAGCGUGUGAUCUACUGUACAGACAGUUGUUUAUGAUUCGAGCAUAAGCUCACAAGAAGGAACUGUGUUUGUGAUUCGUACUUCUUGUUUAGGAUUAAGAACUAGGACUAUAUAGACUUGCUCACGUGAUAUGUUGGUCACCCACCCCAUGGAUUGAGCAGUCCACUAGGUUUUAGUUAUACUUCAGACAGAUGUGAUGGGGAAUCCUUGAGCUUCUCUCACGAUAUUAGAGGGUGGUUUCCUGGUCAGGUCCACCAUGAGGUUGUCCGCUCAUAGCUAGGGGUGGCUAACGUUAGUAUGAUGCCUAUAGGACUAUAUGGUCACAUUAUUAGUUUAGUAUUUAGAUAGGUUUCUUAUUUCUAUCCAAGAACAGGCAGUACAGUUUAGUAUAGGUAGUACAGACUAGUGCAUGCAGUACAGUUUAGUAUAGUCCAGUACAGGCAGUUUUAUUAAGUGUUCACUUUUGGGAUGCGAGAUCCUAAUUGGUCAGUUGUAUUAAGUGUUCUGUUUUCAGCUUUUAUUGCUUCACUUAAUGCUUUGAUGAGCGGUUUAGAGUUGAGUCAUGGUUUAGGUUGAACCCUGAGUAGGACCCUAAACCCCAAAUCUCGACAAUUCUGGCAAAAGUUAAUUUCAUCAUAGUUGUAUGAAAUUGAGCAAGCGUUCCAAAGUCACGGGCCUUGCAUCAAUCAGAUUUAUGAGCAAGGUCUUAUGCCCAAAUGUUAUUUUGUUUUCAAGUUGAAAUCUUGUGCUUCUUUGGCUUCUCGAGUUGUCGCAUUAUGUCGAAAUACUUCACAUUGCUUGUCCUAGACCAUCCACGUACUCUGUAUUGCUCUGAUGAGUUCCCUAAUCUCGUUAUGUACCUGAAACCUAGAAAAAACACUUCAAAAUGACAUCAAAUGGACCAAAACACUCCAAAACAACAUCAAUUAUAAUGCCCCCCGACUAGGUCCGAGACACUAAAUCGAGAUAAAAUCUUAAAAUGUAAGAAAAAUCCUAGACUUCUACCCAAGUUUAUACAAUUAUGCAUAUAAUAUCGCUUAAAUGGAUACGAUAAACAUGGUAAAGCGAACGUCAUCAAAUACAAAAUUUGACACGCUUGUAGCGAGCGUUCAAAAAUAACCUAAUUACCGAAGUAUACAAGGUCAAAUUUCCCUAUGGUCUCAUAAUUGUAUUCUACUCGAAGUUGUGAAAAGUCGUAAUCAGUUUAACAUGGUUGUGGUGUGAGUUACUCAAUUAUCAGUCUAAGAAUAAGAAACUGUAAAUAACGAGAAAUUUGAAAAAGUUUGCAAGGCUGGACGAUUAAGGAUUUUGACUAAUGAGAUAAAACUGCUUAGACAUCGAAUUCUCCUAGGCUAUCCAAAUUCACAAAAGAUAUUCGACUUCAACACUUUAUACAAAAUAAGUUAAAUUCACUUCACCAUCGCAAUUCUUCUUUAAUCAAAUCACGCCCUUUUAGGUCUGCUAAUCUGCAACCUAUAUAUAAUCCCAGUCCACUCUUUUCAGACAAAAAGCUAGAAUCCGCUAGGUGAUAAAAAAAUGAGAACUGCGUGCACGACAGGCUAAUUAUUCGAUUCCCGACCGCGUCCGAGACACUAAAUUGAGAUAAUUUCUUAAAAUGCAAGAAACACGCUAAACUUUUACCCGAUCUUAUACAAUUAUGCAUAUAAUAGCGCUUAAAUGGAGACGAUAAACAUGGUAUAUCGAACGUCAUCAAAUAACCCCACACUUUUCCUCAAGCAAAUAGCUGAUAAUAGCAUGGAAGACACCUAAAAUAUUCAAAAUACAUGGAAUAAUCCCAGCAAACCCAUACUCCUCAAUGUUCCCCUAGACAGCGCAACAUGCAAGUGGACCUUGAAACAACAAAGCCAAUUUAGGAUAUAAAGGCCUCCCAAGAAGUUCCCCAACGUGCCACACAUCAUCAUGCACAUAUGACCACCCAUCUAUACUUCGCACAAGAUGCACAUCUUAAAGAUGAUGUUCAGAAACAAUCACUCUCUCUGUUUAGAGACAUUGUUUUACAAUUACAUUCAACAGUUUCACACAAGCCAAGAGGUAUUUUAUUAGGGUUGUGAUGUGGAUAGAAUAAGAGGCAAAUGAGAUAUAUGGUGACAUACAUACAGUGGCAGACAACUCGGCCUACUCUAAUAUGGAGCUAGACCUACAUCAAAAUGCUCUACAAGGAUCUAAUGUAAAAACGAGCUUUUAUACUAGCUCAUAUAUCCCUUAAAUAAACUAUUGAUACUUCGAGCUUUCCUCCUCGUUUAUUCAAACUAUCUAAGAAAUCUUGUUUUUUCUGUUUUAAUCUUUUCACAUUUUCUACGUGCCUUUAUCAUUCAAGUGUGUCACUGUCGAAACAGUUCAAUUCAGUGUCAUGCAAGCAUUAAUUCAGUUCAGGACGGGAUGGAUUUUUUUACGAUGGAGCUUUUCGUAGUGUCUCUAUCAUUCUAGUAAUCAGUGCCGACUGAAUUCAGUUGGAUAUCAUGGAAGCGCCGAUUAAUAGCCAAUAGAAAAGGCCACUCAAAUUAAUUUAAGAACAAAUAUACUAAUGAAGCACACUAUCUAUACUACAAAAUGGUCUUUUAGGCCUUGCAUUAUCUUGCUAGAAGGUAAUUCAAUAACAUGCAUGCCUAGUAAUCCUCAAGUUAGAGAGUCCAUGCUACUAAUAACUAAUCAAAGCAGCUCUAAGAAAAAAAUCAAUGACCUUUGAUCAUAGGCCUAAACUCCUAUCAAAUCUAGGUUCACAAAGCAUGUUAUAAGAAGCCCAAGUCAAAAAAUCAUUUGGAAGUCCACUAAGCAUGCCAAGUAAUUGAUUAAAAGAUGGUUUCAAACGCCUUGAGUUUAAGACUCAACAUGCAGACAUAAUGGCCCAAAGACUUAGUUUGGACAGUGUCGUCAUAGAACGAAACAGAAAAGUGUUAUGGGAAUACUUGGAAGCCGUGAGAGACUGGAGAGGCAAGAGGCAUAAUCCAUGAAGCUCAAACUUGAUGGGGACACUAACUCCUGAAUAGACUCGAAUAUAUAAAACCAAAAUUAACAGUCUAAAUGAACAAAUACAAGGGCCCAUGUUCUGCACAUAAUAAAAGUUGAUUUAAGUUCCAAAGUGAAGAAAAGAAAAGUCCUAAGGGAAAAGAUGAAACAUGGAUAUUGGUUUAGUGCUGGUGGCAAGAGGUUCGAGGCGACGUUGGAUAAAAAAAAUAGUGGCCAAGAGUGAUGGAGUGUUGGAGGGGCGAAUUUGUUUCAUUGAAAAGGCGAAAAGACACAAUUACCCCUAGUUUAAGUGAGUAAAACACAAGGGGAGUUGGGAAAUGACAAUUUUUGUCCGCACUUUUAAAAAGUGUGCCCCUUCUUUAAAAUGUGCAUCUUAGCAUAUUUUAACACAACCGAGCACUUUUUCUGAGCAUUCAUAUCAAUAGGCAUUAAACUGGAUAGUCUUAAGCGCUGAAACAAGGGAUGUGGCAUAAUGUUCAUGCUAGCACUUAAGUCAGCUUAUGCUAUAUCAACAUAAUGAUUAUUAAUAACGCAAGAGAUAGAAAAGCUCCCUAUGUCUUUUUGCUUGGGUGCGCUACCUCCAUGUGUCCUUUUCUUAGUCAUUGCUAGUUGUUUGGAUUAUGCUCAAUGUUGCCUGAAAGCUAUCCAUGAAGCCUCCGAUUGACCCUUUGUGCCAAGGAUGUGUAAGAUGCUUCCAUCCUCAGUAUCAUAGCUUGUUGACCAUAUAAAAUAGUAUUCUAGUUGGGUAAUUGUGCUUGCAUGUUCUUCAUCAUUUGGAUUAUGUCAUUAUUGAUUCGUCCAGUUGGGGCUAGGUUUUGGUGUUGCUGCUACUGAUUCGGCUUGCUUGUGAAUCCAGGUGGUCCUUGGUAGUUACUUCCUUGAUCGGAUCCACUGAUGUUGGUGCUUGAGCUUCUUUGCUGGUGCGAGUUGUGGCCUUCUGGAGUGG